rnacentral:lncRNA from 1 species
CUGCCUUUACAGUGGCUUAUAUUUCUAUCCCCAGUGCUGGGCACAAUGCCUAGCACAUGGCGAAAUGGCAUAUGGUGUAAUAAAGGCUUGCUGACUAAUAACUGGCCAGUUUUAUGAUAAGUUGACCAAUCUCCCUCCCACUCCUUUCCUUCUCCUUGCCCACAGAGUGGAUAAAAUGAAAAAGCAUCUGUUGAGUGAUUACCACGUGCCUUCCAGCACCAAGCUAAACACUGGAUAUGUAGGUAGAAAAUAGAGACAGUCCCUGUCCUCUGGGAGUGAGGGUUCUUACAAGGGGAGACAACACAUUUAGGAAGAUGCAGACCUGGGAGAAGAGAAAGGCCCCAGCUGUCUCUAAGGAGCUAUGGCAAGUUAAUGCUAAUUAUGCUAAUAAUGCUAAACUUCCAUUGAGUCUUCAAUGUUCAAUCACGAAACGAAACUCAAGACAAUUGGUGAUGGCUUGAGAUAUAGCCCUGUGUGAAGCACUGGGAAUAUAAAUACAAGGAGAAGGAAAGCUAGCCCCUCCUCUCAAGGAGCUUAUGUUCGAAUGGAAGAAGACAACACACAAAAGGGAAACUAAAGAGGAAGUAUUCUACCCAUAGUAGAGAAAAUCCAGAGAGUCAGGAGUGGGGAAUAGACAGGAUGAAGAUGUGACUCAUUUGGCAAUGUCCUUAAAAAUGGAAAAUCCUGAAAGGAACCAGCCAGUCAGAAAAAGGGACAAUGUGUACAUCCAGAAUGAGAAGUCUAGGGAUGGAGUG